rnacentral:rRNA from 1 species
UACAGAGGUCCCGAGCGUUGUUCGGAUUCACUGGGCGUAAAGGGUGCGUAGGUGGCUUGAAAAGUUUGAUGUGAAAGCUCAGGGCUUAACCCUGAAAUGGCAUUGAAUACUGUCGAGCUGGAGGUUUGGAGGGGGGACUGGAAUUCUUGGUGUAGCAGUGAAAUGCGUAGAUAUCAAGAGGAACACCGGUGGUGCAGACGGCUCUCUGGACCGUAACUGACGCUGAGACACGAAAGCGUGGGUAGCAAACAGG